rnacentral:misc_RNA from 1 species
GCAUUCCUCUUUGACAUAACCCACCCGCUGGUACGAGCCAAUGCGGGCUGGGCGGUCAUUUUAAGAGAAGCGAGAACACUAAACGAGGGCAGAACAGGAUCCCAUGAGACCCCAUGCCCACAUCAGGUUCCGUAUCCAAGAUACCAAGCAAUGCUCAAUGGGCCACAACAUCAACGCAAGCAUUAACGAUGUGGUUCAAAGAGACAGCUUCAAGGUCCAUCUCAUGUCAUGUGGAUGACACGAGACGAAAGCGACUACGAUCGAUUGAGGCAAUACCGUAACUUAGGUAGGCAACACAAGAAACCCACAUUACGCUUAGGCGAUACAAGCCUAAACAGGCAACUGAAAAGGUAAGCAAGGUGGAAGUUGUU